rnacentral:rRNA from 1 species
UACCAGCACCCCGAGUGGUCGGGACGAUUAUUGGGCCUAAAGCAUCCGUAGCCGGCCUUACAAGUCCUCCGUUAAAUCCAGCUGCUUAACAGAUGGGCUGCGGAGGAUACUAUAAGACUAGGAGGCAGGAGAGGCAAGCGGUACUCAGUGGGUAGGGGGUAAAAAUCCGCUGAUCCAUAGAAGACCACCAGUGGCGAAGGCGGCUUGCCAGAACGCGCUCGACGGUGAGGGAUGAAAGCUGGGGGGAGCAAACAGG